AGAGUUUGAUCCUGGCUCAGGACGAACGCUGGCGGCGUGCUUAAUACAUGCAAGUCGAACGAAGCUGCUUGACGGAAUCCUUCGGGAGGAAGACGAGUAGACUUAGUGGCGGACGGGUGAGUAACGCGUGAGCAAUCUGCCCAUAAGAGGGGGACAACAGUUGGAAACGACUGCUAAUACCGCAUAAGACCACAUUACCGCAUGGUAGAGGGGUCAAAGAGAUAUCGCUUAUGGAUGAGCUCGCGUCCUAUUAGGUAGUUGGUGAGGUAACGGCCCACCAAGCCGACGAUCGGUAGCCGACCUGAGAGGGUGAUCGGCCACAUUGGAACUGAGACACGGUCCAAACUCCUACGGGAGGCAGCAGUAGGGAAUAUUGGGCAAUGGGGGCAACCCUGACCCAGCAACGCCGCGUGAGGGAAGAAGGUUCUCUGGAUUGUAAACCUCUGUCCUAUGGGACGAAGAAGUGACGGUACCAUAGGAGGAAGCUCCGGCUAACUACGUGCCAGCAGCCGCGGUAAUACGUAGGGAGCGAGCGUUGUCCGGAAUUACUGGGCGUAAAGGGUGCGUAGGCGGUUUUUUAAGUCAGAUGUGAAAUACCCGUGCUCAACAUGGGGGGUGCAUCUGAUACUGGAAGACUUGAGUGCAGGAGAGGAAAGCGGAAUUCCUAGUGUAGCGGUGAAAUGCGUAGAUAUUAGGAGGAACACCAGUGGCGAAGGCGGCUUUCUGGACUGUAACUGACGCUGAGGCACGAAAGCGUGGGUAGCAAACAGGAUUAGAUACCCUGGUAGUCCACGCUGUAAACGAUGGAUACUAGGUGUGGGGGUCAUAAGGCCUCUGUGCCGCAGCAAACACAAUAAGUAUCCCGCCUGGGGAGUACGACCGCAAGGUUGAAACUCAAAGGAAUUGACGGGGGCCCGCACAAGCAGCGGAGCAUGUGGUUUAAUUCGAAGCAACGCGAAGAACCUUACCAAGGCUUGACAUCCUCUGACCGCCAUAGAGAUAU
rnacentral:rRNA from 1 species